GGGGACGUGGUCUAACGGUAAGAUACACAGAGGUGUCUUUUGUGGGUCCCUCCCGCCCUUCCUCUGUGAGAUGCGAGUUCGAGUCCCGCCGUCUCCA
rfam:Pseudocercospora fijiensis CIRAD86 unplaced genomic scaffold MYCFIscaffold_7, whole genome shotgun sequence.